CCUACGGGAGGCAGCAGUGGGGAAUAUUGCACAAUGGGGGAAACCCUGAUGCAGCGACGCCGCGUGAGCGAAGAAGUAUUUCGGUAUGUAAAGCUCUAUCAGCAGGGAAGAAAAUGACGGUACCUGAGUAAGAAGCUCCGGCUAAAUACGUGCCAGCAGCCGCGGUAAUACAUAUGGAGCAAGCGUUAUCCGGAUUUACUGGGCGUAAAGGGAGCGUAGGCGGCCUGCCAAGUCUGAUGUGAAAUACCGGGGCUCAACCCCGGGGCUGCAUUGGAAACUGGCAGGCUGGAGUGCCGGAGAGGCAGGCGGAAUUCCUAGUGUAGCGGUAAAAUGCGUAAAUAUAUGUAAGAACACCAGUGGCGAAGGCGGCUUGCUGGGUCGAUACUGACAUUGAGGCACGAAAGCGUGGGGAGCAAACAGGAUUAGAUACCCGAGUAGUC
rnacentral:rRNA from 1 species